GCAGUUUUUUGUUAUUAUCUUGAAUACUAUUAUAGAUAGAGAUAAACUGUAAACAGCAAUAAUGUUCAGCAAAAUAAGACCUACAAAUAAGUCAACAUGACCAAAAUUGUCAGUAAACCCCUUAAGGAGUUAUUGCCCUUUAUAGUCAAUUUUAACAACUUUUUCGUCAUUUUUUGUAACUUGUACAAAAAUCUUCUUCUCUGAAACUACUGGGCCAAAUUUAAACUUACUUGGCCACAAACAUAAUUGUGUUAUAUAGUUUUAAAAGUGUGUCCGAUGACCCCACCUACCAAACAAAAUGGCCGACAUGGCUAAAAUUAGAACAUAGUGGUAAAAUGCAGUUUUUGCGUUCUAUCUAUGAAACUAAGACAUUUAGG
rnacentral:lncRNA from 1 species